UUAAGCAUCAGGCCUUUUAAAGGCCUUAAACCAAGUUAGAUCAUGAUUAGGACUCCUAAUCAGACUUAAAUCAAGUCCAAAAAAUCUCCAAAGCUGUUGGAUCAAUACCAGGAUUAACCCAAGCCCUCCGAUUAUGCACCGAUCCAUGGAAUAGUGCCGUGGACCGCAUGAAAUAUGUGGGAAAUGUCCAUGCAGUCCAUGUGCCCGACU
rnacentral:lncRNA from 1 species